rnacentral:rRNA from 1 species
CAGUCGCCACGGGAAUACAGAGGGUGCGAGCGUUAAUCGGAUUUACUGGGCGUAAAGCGUGCGUAGGCGGCUUCUUAAGUCGGAUGUGAAAUCCCUGAGCUUAACUUAGGAAUUGCAUUCGAUACUGGGAAGCUAGAGUAUGGGAGAGGAUGGUAGAAUUCCAGGUGUAGCGGUGAAAUGCGUAGAGAUCUGGAGGAAUACCGAUGGCGAAGGCAGCCAUCUGGCCUAAUACUGACGCUGAGGUACGAAAGCAUGGGGAGCAAACAGGAUUAGAUACCCGUGUAGUCCUGUCUCUUAUACA